GCUCUCAGACAACAUAUCAACUUAUACAUUUUCCUUUUUGGUCCCAAUGAUCUUUCAUCCUUAUAGUAACUAGAAAUCUACUUGACUACCAUUUUAAAACUUUUAUUUCUUUCAGCUACCUGGGGAGGAGCCACUGUAUGCAGAUACAAUUAAACUCCUAUUCUGUUUCCAGAAGGUCUUCCCUCCAGCCCCCAAAGCCAUGAGGUCACAAGGGCCAAGUCAGCUACAUGCAAACAUACUUCACAGUUGCUAAGGAGACUGCACAUCAAAAAAAAAAAAAAAAGACUCAGUAGUUUAUAUCCUUUAAGGGCAGGGAUUUAGCUCAGUGGUUUUGCCGCCUGCUGUGCAAGCGCAAGGUACCGAGUUCGAUCCUCAGUACCAAAAAAAAAAAAGACUCAGUAAGGAGAUUGCACAUCAGUGGCAACUAGGCAAGGAGUAAAGGAAGGGGACAGACAAUGCAGAAGGGGGUUUUGUGGCAGCAACUCACCUGGACCCUGGCCUGUCUCAGAGAUGGUGAAUUUGAAAACUGUGGCCUGGGAGCUGAAUGAAGGAGCAGCAUCUGUGAGUGUUGGGAACCUGAGGAAAGAAAAGACUAGACUGACUGAGAAAGCUCAGCAUCUGAUUAGAUGA
rnacentral:lncRNA from 1 species